rnacentral:tRNA from 2 species
GGAGAGAUAGCUCAGUGGAUAAGAGCACUUGACUGCUCUUUAAAAGGACCCUGGUUCAAUUCCGGGCACCA